UACCGCUGGGGGAGCCAAAAGGCUGAGAGGGGCGUUUUCGCCCAACCCUUAGAACCUGUCUGGAUCAUGCCAACGAAGGGAAGCGG
rnacentral:ncRNA from 1 species